rnacentral:rRNA from 1 species
UACGUAGGUGACAAGCGUUGUCCGGAUUUACUGGGCGUAAAGGGCGCGUAGGCGGUCAGCACAAGUCAGUUGUGAAAUCUCCGGGCUUAACCCGGAAAGGUCAACUGAUACUGUGCGACUAGAGUGCGGAAGGGGCAACUGGAAUUCUUGGUGUAGCGGUGAAAUGCGUAGAUAUCAAGAGGAACACCUGCGGCGAAGGCGGGUUGCUGGGCCGACACUGACGCUGAAGCGCGAAAGCCAGGGGAGCGAACGGG